rnacentral:rRNA from 1 species
UACAGAGGGUGCGAGCGUUAAUCGGAAUUACUGGGCGUAAAGCGUGCGUAGACGGUUAUUUAAGUCGGGUGUGAAAGCCCCGGGCUCAACCUGGGAAUUGCAUUCGAGACUGAAUAGCUAGGGUACGGUAGAGGGAAGCGGAAUUUCCGGUGUAGCGGUGAAAUGCGUAGAUAUCGGGAGGAACACCGGUGGCGAAGGCGGCGACCUGGGCCGAGACUGACGCUGAGGCGCGAAAGCGUGGGGAGCAAACAGG